AUACAGUAAAAUGUCUUGAUAUGUUAUACAGUGAUAGUCAGGAUCACUCUAUACAGGAAUCCAUUGAAAAUAUUAGCAAACCUAUUACGGAAUAAUUGUAGUACAGUUUUGAAAUUGAGGAAAUUAUCCAAUCGCCGUAUGCACUUUGAGAGUCUAUAGUGAUAGUCAGGAUCACUGUGAACAAGAAACCAUUGAAAAAAAUCAGCAAACCUAUAAUUUCCCUCAUGUUUAACCGUUGCACGGGGUAUAAAAAACUGCUUUCCCAUCCAUUUUGGCCUAGUCGGGCACCGUACCGUAAGUGCAGUAAUAGAUGCGCAACAGAUAUUAAGCGGCGGCUGGCUUGACGGGGCUUUUCCAAAGUGCGGCUGGCGUGACCGCAGUAACAAACUGCAUACACCCUACAGCCACUCUCUCUGAAGGACCACUGAGGAGUCCUACGUGCAGACACCGGGACAACCAAGUACUCAGCCAUGGCCCUUCAGGGAGUGAUUCUCUAUCUAUUAGGUAUGCUACCAUCUAAUGAUAUACCACUUUAUUAUUUAGCACUGUUGAAACUGCCUGCACCUUUAUUGCAUCUUUUCUUUGUUCCAGUCCUGUUUCCAGCUGCCCUCCUCAUCGAAGACUCGCCAAACAGCCAUCCUUAUGGCCCGCCCAUAACUUGUGGACGAAUUAGCAGUGAGAAACUGUUGCGCAAGAAAUCCAGCAACAGUAUUUGCUGUGGAGACGAACAGUACAGCCCUGACACCCACUGCUGCUGCUUGGACGGGGCGUUCCGUACCGAAGCCCGGGACUGCUCCCUCUGCUGUGAACAAGACAAGAACCAAGCAGCUCCCAUAGCCUGCUGUGGCCAACAGGCCUUCGACCCCAGCUCCGCCGUCUUCUGUGGACUGACGAUCCUGGUCCACCCGCUCCGAUGCUGUGGAGGAGGGGCCUACCACACCAACACCCAGCUGUGCUGUGGACCCCUGGGCAGAGAGAAGAUCCUCUCCAAGAAACACGAGGAGAACAUUUGCUGUGGAGACGCCCAGUACAACAAUGGGACCCACGAGUGCUUGGGAGACCCUCGUAGAGUCAAGGAGCGCCCAGUGUCCCCUGGGACGUGCUCAGACCGGGCGUCCAUCCCCAGGCCAGCAGGGCUCUACAACCCCAACACCCAGCUGUGCUGUGGACCCCUGGGCAGAAGGAAGAUCCUCUCCAAGAAACACGAGGAGAACAAUUGCUGUGGAGACGCCCAGUACAACAAUGGGACCCACGAGUGCUUGGGAGACCCUCCUAGCGUCAAAGAGCGCCCAGUGUCCCCUGGGACGCGCUCAGACCGGGCGUCCAUCCCCAGGCCAGCAGACUCCUCAGCUCUUCCGGUAUCCUCAGUCAUGGCAGAACAACUCGCCCCAUCCACUGUAAAUUUACCCGUCGCUGAGCCUGGGGGCCGGCCUCGGGUUAGGGUUAGCGGACGCGGACCUGCGGACCCCCCUGACAGCAGGGGGACGGGCCCUGCUCCGUCCUCCCCCAGUCCCCGGACUACGCUGAGGGGGAUGCUGUUCAGGUCAGGCCGCAGAUGACCUUUGAGCCGCGACAGGUUCUAUUCCCACACGGUGUGGGAAUUGACUCAAUGAAUCAAUUAUUGGAAGGGACCAACUAAUGUCGUCUGGACUAAGCUAGACCAAACUGGACUUGGGUUACGUUAAUGUAACCCAAGUCCAGUUUGCAAAAACCUAUCUGAUACUGUAGAGAAACCUUGAAGUUGAGUAAAUAGUUAUCCAUGUACUGUUUUUUUAAAUAAGUCAUUUUUUUUAGACAAUGAAGGUGAAUCACAAUCUACCUGUUAGGGUUACUACUACUGCUACUGCAUUGCAAAAGUCAGUCCGUCUCCGUUGCAUCGAGUGAUAGUUAAAAAAUAUUGGAUGCGCACGUAGAGCUACAGAGAGGGUCUCGGAGAGGGUCUCAGACAGGCUCUCCGGCUGCGGAGAGGGCAAUCCGUGUCUACGUACAGCACUUUACGGAGGAGUAUGAAACCAGCCUUGAGGACUACUACUACUGAGAAUGUAGUGUUACGUCGGUAACGCCGUCUUACUAUUGUUUAUUAUUGAACUAAAUACCUGUGGUGUGUGCCCAACCCUUCAGCCAUUCAAUUAUUUGGAGUAUUGACUGAUUAAUUAUUGUUAUUAGGAUAAUUAUUCUUUUUUGUUUUGUAUAUUUUUUGUUUUAAUAUAUUAGCAAUGAUCUCAAUAAACGGCAACGUGACACCUAUACCUGUUGUUCUACUAUUGUCUUAUUUGGAUGAUUAUCAUCUGCUGGUGUUAUGAUCUCGUCCUUCCCACCACCCAGACAGCUUAUCGGGUUUACUCAGCCCCAAGAUAAGGCUCUCCGGGACUCAGUGAGUUGUGGUCAAGGGCUACGUUUUCACGUGUCGUAUUUGUCUUGUUUUGUUGCUCAUCGGUAAAACAGUGUUUGACGUGGCAUGUCCAUGUGCCCUCUUCAGAACCAUUUCCUUAAACUAUUCAGAACAAUUCCCUUAAACCGUAUUCAGAACCAUUCCCCUAAACUUUAUUCAGAGCCAUUAACGUAAACCAUAUUCAGAGCCAUUCCCUUAAACCAUAUUCAGAGCCAUUACCUUAAACAGUAUUCAGAGCGAUUCCCUUUAACCGUAUUCAGAGCAAUUCCCUUGAACCAUAUUCAGAACCAUUAGCUUAAACUGUAUUCAGAACCAUUCCCUUAAACUGUAUUCAUAGCCAUUACCUUAACCAUAUUCAGAGCCAUUCAUUUAAACUGUGUUCAGAACCAUUUCCUCAAACCGUUUUCAGAGCCAUUCCCUUAAACCGUGUUCAGUGCCAUUCCCUUAAGCCUCCUUCAGAACCAUUUCCUUAAGCCUCCUUCAGAACACAUUUUAUUCAUUUUUCCUUUGAUUACCUGAGGAUUCUCCCUUGUGUACCACGCGAUACACUGGUUCUAAACCCUCUAAAUGGUUUUAUAUUGGUUACAUAUUAUAAACCCUUUAAACACUCACAAAAGUGAGAGCAGCUUGCUCUACAUAAAUCCAUCCGCCUGCUGCUUUUCCAGCAGGUGUGGUGUCGCGGACUCAGCUAUACAGCUAGCAGGCUACACAGCACAACGCCAGGACAGGACGAGUAACUCCGGUAAAAGCAGAGGAGGGGGACUGUGUGUUUAUGUCAUCAACAUCUGGUGCACUCACACAGUGGCUAUAGACCGUCACUGGUCCCCAGACUUAGGGUACGUGACUAUCAAAUGUCGGCCCAUUUAUCUCCCUAGGGAGUUUACUGUCGUCUUGAUCACUGCUGUUUACAUCCCACCGGAUGCUAACGCUAACAUAGCUCUCUUUUACAUAGCAGCAUUAGCAGUCAGCAGAGCAAGUAUCCUGAUGCAGUGUUUAUAAUUGCGGGGGACUUCAAUCACGCUGACCUAAAAGCAGUGCUCCCAAAAUUCCACCACCACGUUAAGUGUGCGACCAGAGGAGCUAACACAUUGGACAAGGUCUGCUCAAACAUCAAGGGUGGCUACAGGGUCAGGCCACUACCACACCUAGCUCAGUCCGACCACCUGUCACUGCUUUCUGUUCCUGCAUACACCCCCCUCAAAACUGCUUUGACUACUAAAAGAUGGAGCCUUUCAGCAGUUGCAGGACUGCUUUGACAGGACCUGCUGGGAGAUAUUCGAAGAUCCAGACCUGGAGGUGUUUACAGACAAUGUAUUAUUAAGAACUGCAUAGACAUUGUCACAGUUGACAAAUGCAUUUGUGUCUAUCCCAACCAGAAGCCCCGGAUGACUAGAGAGGUCCAGCAGCUGCUAAAGGAGAGGAACACCGCCUUCAGAUCAGGUGAUGGGGCUCUGUACAGCGCAGUACGCUCCAGUCUCAAGAGGGGCAUCCGGAGGGCGAAGUCGGACUACAGGAGGAGGAUCGAGGACCACCUGGACAGCAACAACACCAGGCAGGUGUGGCAGGGAAUCCAGAACAUUACCAACUACAAGACCGGAGGAGCUGAACCACUUCUUCGCCUGUUUCGAGGCAAAGCCACCAGAUGCAGCAACGCCACAUCCAGCAGCCAACAGCGGCAUCAUCCUCACGGUAGAGGAGCAUGAGGUGAGGCGUGCACUGCGGGCUGUCAACCCGCGGAAGGCAGCUGGACCCGACGGUGUCUGUGGACGUGUGCUGAAGGAGCUGGUGGGGGUCUUUACUAAGAUCUUUAACCAGUCACUCUCCCAGUCCACUGUCCCAUCCUGCUUGAAGUCCUCCACCAACGUCCCCCUGCUCAAAAAGAACUAUCUACUCCCACAACGACUACCGGCCAGUAGCACUCACCCCUGUGGUGAUGAAGUGCUUUGAAAAACUGGUUCGUAGUCACAUCAUGUCAUUCAUCCCCCCCACCUUUGAUCCACAUCAGUUCGCUUACAGGGCAAAUAGAUCUACUGAGGACGCUGUGGCCACAGCCCUCCAUGCAGCAUUGUCCUACCUGGAGCAGCAGGGGAGCUAUGCUCGGAUGCUCUUCAUGGACUUUAGCUCUGCUUUUUAUACAAUCCUCCCACACAGACUGGUGCUCAAACUGUCUGACAUUGGAAUACCACACUCAACCUGCCUUUGGAUUAAGGACUUUUUAACGGACCGCACUGAGAGGGUAAGAGUGGGCCCCCACACCUCCACCGCCCUCAGCCUCAGCACUGGCGCCCCACAGGGCUGUGUGCUGAGUCCCCUGCUCUAUACCCUCUAUAGCCACGACUGCACUCCCGCCCACCACAGCAACACCUUCAUCAAAUUUGCAGAUGACACCACAGUAGUGGGGCUCAUCUCAAGGGGGGAUGAGACCGCCUACAAAGACGAGGUGGAGCGUUUGGUGGGGUGGUGCAGUGCUAACAACUUGCUCCUAAAUACAACAAAGACCAAGGAGCUCGUUGUGGAUUAUAGGAGGAAGAAGACGGUCAUCCAGCCGCUGAUGAUAGGCGGGGUCUGUGUGGAGAGGGUCUCUGACUUCCGCUUCCUGGCAGUGAACAUCAUGGGGGACCUGACCUGGGGCGUCAACACCACUGGGCUGGUGAAGAAGGCCCAGCAGAGACUAUACUUCCUGAGAGUUCUCAGGAGGAACAACAUCCCCCAGAAACUGCUGGUGUCCUUCUACCGCUGCUCAAUAGAGAGCAUAUUGACCUACUGUCUGUGUGUCUGGUUCUCAAGCUGCACUGUGGCACAGAGGAAAAGGCUCCAGGGGGUCAUAAAGGCAGCGCAGAAAAUCACCGGCUGCCCUCUUCCCUCUCUGGCAAGACUGUUCUGUUCUCAUUUCUCUUUCAACUGAGAUUUGUUUUUAGAUUCUCCUUAAAAAGGCCAAAUCCGUCCUGCAUGACUCAUCACACCCCGGUCACAAACUGUUUGAACUACUGCCAUCAGGCAGGAGAUACAGGUCCAUGAAAACAAGAACAAGCAGACUACGAAACAGUUUUUAUCCAACAGCCAUACCCUCACUAAAUGUUGCUACCAGAGCAUAGUUGUGUUGUGUAUCACAUUUGUGUAGGCACAUUUAUAAAUGGGAAUGUUUGUGUGGGUGUGUCUUAUGUGUUUUUUAGUGUACUUUGUUGAUUAUAGUUUUUUAUUUUUUAUUUAUACAUACUACCUCAAUGCGAUGUUUUUGCACUGAACAAGGACUGCACUUGAUUUCGUUGUACUUGUUACAAUGACAAUAAAGAUAUUCUAUUCUAUUCUAUUCUAGUCGUUACGAGACACCUCCCACUCUCCUCGAGCGCUCUAUCACUCUAUCAGACAUCAAGCAUGGGAUGUUCCACACAUCUCUUCUUGCCAUCAGGGAUGCAAGACUGUUCUGUUCUCAUUUCUCUUUCAACUGAGAUUUGUUUUUAGAUUCUCAGUUUAAAGGAAAUCUAGUUAGGUGAGUCCUGCGAGCAUCGCUCAACUAUGACGGUUCUUAGACUUUCUUUCUUUCUUUCUUUCUUUCUUUCUUUCUUUCUUUCUUUCUUUCUUUCUUUCUUUCUUUCUUAUUCUCUACAAACCUUGGGACCCUACUCUUUCCACAAUUUUUCCUGAGACUCCAUUUCACCGUUAAAAUUUUCAUAUUAGCUUGGAAUCGUGGUAUCUAAC
rnacentral:lncRNA from 1 species